rnacentral:misc_RNA from 1 species
UCCGAUUUGUCACCGGCAGUCUCCCAUGAGUCCCCGACAUUACUCGCUGGUAACACGGGAUAGGGGUUGCGCUCGUUGCGGGACUUAACCCAACAUCUCACGGCACGAGCUGACGACAGCCAUGCAACAUCUGUGCAUCUGUCCCGAAGGAAGACCCGCUUUCACGGGCUGUCAGACGCAUGUCAAGUCCAGGUGAGGUUCUUCGCUUAGCAUCGAAUUAAACCACACGCUCCGCUGCUUGUGCGGGGACCCGUCAAUUCCUUUGAGUUUUAGCCUUGCGGCCGUACUCCCCAGGCGGGAUACUUAUCGCGUUAGCUUCGGCACGGGAGGGGUCGAUACCCCCCAUACCUAGUAUCCAUCGUUUAGGGCGUGGACUAC